CCGGGCGACCGGCGCACGGGUGAGUAACACGUAUGCAACCUGGCCGUGACAGAUGGAUAACCGGGAGAAAUCCCGCCUAAUACAGCAUGACGCCGGGAAGGGACAUCCCUUUCCGGCCAAAGGGGGCGACUCCGGUCACGGAUGGGCAUGCGGCGCAUUAGGUAGUUGGUGGGGCAACGGCCCACCAAGCCGACGAUGCGUAGGGGUUCUGAGAGGAAGGUCCCCCACAUUGGAACUGAGACACGGUCCAAACUCCUACGGGAGGCAGCAG
rnacentral:rRNA from 1 species